rnacentral:rRNA from 1 species
UGGGGAAUAUUGCACAAUGGGCGAAAGCCUGAUGCAGCAACGCCGCGUGAGUGAUGAAGGCCUUCGGGUUGUAAAGCUCUGUCUUUUGGGACGAUAAUGACGGUACCAAAGGAGGAAGCCACGGCUAACUACGUGCCAGCAGCCGCGGUAAUACGUAGGUGGCAAGCGUUGUCCGGAUUUACUGGGCGUAAAGGAUGCGUAGGCGAAUUUUUAAGUGAGAUGUGAAAUACCCGGGCUUAACUUGGGUGCUGCAUUUCAAACUGGGAAUCUAGAGUGCGGGAGAGGAGAAUGGAAUUCCUAGUGUAGCGGUGAAAUGCGUAGAGAUUAGGAAGAACACCAGUGGCGAAGGCGAUUCUCUGGACCGUAACUGACGCUGAGGCAUGAAAGCGUGGGUAGCAAACAGGAUUAGAUACCCUGGUAGUCCACGCCGUAAACGAUGAGUACUAGGUGUAGGAGGUAUCGACCCCUUCUGUGCCGCAGUUAACACAAUAAGUACUCCGCCUGGGAAGUACGAUCGCAAGAUUAAAACUCAAAGGAAUUGACGGGGUC